GUUUUGAUCAAAAGGAGAGAUGGUUGGCAUCUCCGGAUGGGAACAACCUUCUGGCUUUCCUAUUACACACCUCGGUUAAGGCUAAGUAACCAAAAAACUCU
rnacentral:ncRNA from 1 species